GGGGGGGGGGGGCAAGCGUUGUUCGGAAUUACUGGGCGUAAAGGGCGCGUAGGCGGACGAGACAGUCUUUCGUGAAAUCCCACGGGCUCAACCGUGGAACUGCGGGAGAUACUACUCGUCUUGAGUUCGGGAGAGGAGUGUGGAAUUCCCAGUGUAGCGGUGAAAUGCGUAGAUAUUGGGAGGAACACCGGUGGCGAAGGCGGCACUCUGGACCGAUACUGACGCUGAGGCGCGAAAGCUAGGGGAGCAAACGGGAUUAGAUACCCCGGUAGUCCUAGCUGUAAACGAUGAGCACUUGGUGUAGCGGGUAUCGACCCCUGCUGUGCCGGAGUUAACGCAUUAAGUGCUCCGCCUGGGGAGUACGGUCGCAAAGGCUG
rnacentral:rRNA from 1 species